UAUUAUAUAAUUUUUUUUUUAUUUAAUAAUUAUAUUUUAUUUUAAAAAAUUAAAUAAUUUGGUAGUAUUUUUUAAAAUUAGAGGAUUUUGUUUAUUAAUUGAUAAUACACAUUAUAAUAUACUUAAAUUAUUAUUAAAUUAUAUAUUGUUGUUUAAUUAAUAUUUUUAAAAAUAAUUAAUAAAUUUUAUAAAAAAAAAUAAUUCAAAUCAUAAUAUAUUUUAAAUUUAAGUUUAAAAUGAAAUACAUUAAAUUUAUUUAAUUGAAUUUUAAAUUUUAAUAUUUAAAUGAAAAUGGAUUUAAAAUUAAAUUUUUAUAAAUAUAAAUAUUUAAUAUUUUAAAAAAUAUAUACAUAUUGCCCGUCGCUUUUAAAUAAUUUUAAAAUAA
rnacentral:rRNA from 1 species